UACGGGGGGUGCGAGCGUUGUCCGGAAUCACUGGGCGUAAAGGGCGCGUAGGUGGUUUGAUAAGGGUGUGGUGAAAGUCCGGGGCUCAACCCCAGAUCUGCCGUGCCGACUGUCAAACUCGAGGGCUGUAGAGGCAGACGGAAUUCCGGGUGUAGCGGUGGAAUGCGUAGAGAUCCGGAGGAAGACCGGUGGCGAAGGCGGUCUGCUGGGCAGUUUCUGACACUGAUGCGCGACAGCGUGGGGAGCAAACAGG
rnacentral:rRNA from 1 species